rnacentral:lncRNA from 1 species
CUUUUAUCUCCCCAAAUAUAUCUGCUAUAUUCCCAUUGCAAUGCUUAUUCUCAAACAAAUAUCUUUUAUUUUUCAGAGUGUCUCUCUCUGUCUGUUAUUUAGGUUUUGACAUAAUUUGGUGUCAGAAGUAGAAUUGAAGCUGGUUAGUUGGACAGAUGGACAACCCCUGAAAUUGAGUGAAUUGCCUGUGCUGAGCCCUUUUGAGCUCUCCACCUCCGUGGCUGACCUUUUCUACCCUGCUGAAUCUCCUCUCAGAUUCCUGGACUCCUUUUUGAAUGCUAGCCCAGCACUUUGAGAUGAUAAUCAAUGUUUAUGGAACAGACAAAAUUCAACUUAACAAUGGACUGCAGUCCCAGCUUUAUCAGUUAUGUGUGGUCUUGGACAAGUUAUUUUACUUCUCUGAACUCAGUUUUCUCAUUCAUAAAGUGGAAAUAAUAAUCUCUAUCUUAUGGGAUUGUUGAAAGGACUAGAAUGAAUAUAUGCAAAGCUCUUGGUAGAAAUUGAGAACUCAAUGAAGACAGAAGAGAUGUAAGUCAAUAUGAUGAGUAAGUCAAAUGAUGCUGGAGUUGGGUCUUGGAAGGAAAACAACAUUCAAAUAGGUAGAGGUAGAAAGAAAAGAGAUUCCAACCAGAAUGAGUGUGAACAAAGAGGAAGCCACAGUACAGUGGGAUGUGUGCAAUUACUGAAAACUUUGCAUAGAUUUGGCUAGAGUAGUAGAGUUCUCCUUCAAUAGGAGCAGUGGCAGAAAAAGGACUGGAGGGAAGGAUGGACUCAGACACAGAGGGCAACAAGAUAAGGGCAAAGGGUGUGUGUCUCCUUGGAGGCCACCAUGUGCUGCCCUGCUAUUGUCUGGGGACUGGGUGAAAGUCAAUAUUGCCCUGCUCAGGACCAAGAGACAUUGCUACCAUUGGCACUGCUUGGAUGUUCCUGAUGCUCCCAGAACCUCUGUCACUUAGGAAAUUACAAGGGUUUAGAUACUUUGUACCAGAAAUGAGGUAAAAGCCAAAUAUAUAUUUAUUUCUCCUUAUAUAUAUAUAGAGAGAGAGAGAUGGGGUCUUGCUUGUUGCUCAGGGUGGUCUUGAACUACUCCUGGCCUCAAGCAAUCCUCCUCUUGGCCUCCCAAAGUGCAGAGA